UUCUGCAUAGCUCUCGUAAAGUUGAUCCCAAAGGGCCCUGUCCAUUGCAUCAGCUUGCUGCUUGCUUUCUGCUUCCAUGCUUUUGCUUGCUUGCAGGCAGUUACCCAAGAGCAAAGCCAAACAAACUAGGCUACCAGAAGGGCAGCCAGAGGCUGUUCUUGCAAAAGAAGCUUCACCCAUCUUACCCAGAAAAGGGUGGGGAAAAAGACAAAUUCUCCAUUAAAGUGCUGGCAGUGGGACACCGUGCAUACUCCCAUCUCCCUUCUGAAAACAAGUUAAAAAAAAAAAAAACAUUUGUGUGGGGGUUGGGGACCUGUUACAUAUACAAAGGUUUUCCUCAUAGUUUCAUUCUAGAUUUCAGCCUUCAGUGUUUCAGGGACCUGUGACAGCCAAAGCAGGAGGAAAAAAAAACCCAACAGGAAAGCAGCAAAAUGAAGCAUUCAUAAAUUCAGAAAAGCCAGAUGUAAAGGUAUCCUCAUCAAGCUUUGCUCAGCUUUUUUUUUUUUUUUCCCCUUUUUCUUUUUCCAUGCUUUAUCACAGCCUUCACUCACUCUUACUUGCAUUUGCUUAAUGUGUGGUCUGCACAGUUGCUAACAAGGAGAAGAAAUGGGUGCACAGAUGAUACCGUCCCCCUGUCCUACAGUGCCACAGUUGUUCGUAACAGCCUGCGCAAGAAAGACCAGCUCAGCUGAUGUGCAAAUCAGAAGCAGUUGCACAUACAAGAGCAGCAAGGGGAUCACAGAGCAUGCUCAUCGCUUGAAAGCAUGAGCUGCCAAACACUGGUAAAUUUCAGUCUGUUUUUCGGUGGGUUUUCCUGAAGUUUAUAACUUGACCAUAUUUACAUAGGUUUUUGGUUUUCAUGUUGAUGGGCCAAGUGUUAUCUUCGAGCACAGAGCAAUUGUUCUGUCAAACAUUAUAUUCCUAUUUUAAGAAAAUAUAUUUUCAAGGUUUUUCUUUAGAACGAAGAAGUUUGUUUCUCCCCCCUCCCUCACUUGAGCAAAAAGAUGCCUUCUUCACUUGGGAAUUGAACUGUUCUAGCUGAAACUUCAAAGGAAACUAUUUUGAAGCAGAUGUUCUGCAAUGGAAAAUUUCACAUUGAGCCAUUUCAGUGGUAGCUUUAAAAGCAAUAGUAAAGCAAAGGCUUUUGUGCAAGGGGAAAAAAAAAAGUUAGAUGCUAUUGCACUGGCUGCACUUUAAUGACAUGGACUGAUGGGGCUUUCUAGGGAACUGCAUUCAAAUAUCUUUCCUUUUGCCCAAAUCCUGAUGUUGGCCCAUAUAGAGGGUUGACACAAAAAAUCCUCCACUUCCUGAAGAUUCACCACAUUCAGAUGAAGACAAUCUUGCUAUUGCCUGUGAAUACAGGAAAAACAGAGGUCUCAUUCAUCCUCAGCUCCUGUUAGGCACCAGAGGAUGACAAGAAGACCGAAAGGCUCUAUUCCCAGCUCAGCUGUGGUUCAGUGACCACUGGCAGGUCCCAUGAAAGCAGUGUGCCUGAGCAUGUCCCCCCAUCAGCAGCUUGCAGCUCUGCUCCAUCCUGUCAUCUCUGCUUGGGAAAUCAUGGUGACUUUGCUUCCUCAGCAGUAUUAAAAGCUCCACAGAGACUGUAACUUCAAUGGUUCAAGUCAGCAAAUCCCAGUGUUCCUCUGGCUUCACAAACACGUGGCUGAUUGAAGCAGAAAAUGGAAUUAAGAACUUUCCAUACAUAGAGAAUAUUUAAUAUGCAUAUUUAUAUAAAUAUAUUUUUUAUUAUAGGAAAAAAAUGAAGGACACAGGCAUUUGAGACAAGCUGAAGAUGUUUCUUGCAUUUUAUUGCCUCUGACUGCUUGAAUCAAACCAUUUAGACUAACAUUAUUCUUUCCAAUAUAUUUAUGAGUAUGCUACUGUCAUGACUCAUUUAUGACACAGGAAGCCUGUGAAGGCCACGUGUGUCAGAGCCUUUCACUGGUUGGUUCCCUGCUGUCUGACCCAAAGAAACGUCCAACAGCCGUUAUAUUCUUUGUCUUUAUUCUCAUGGAAACAGAAAGUGGAUUUGAGGUGAAACAUCUGGUUUGUUUUGGGAUGUUACAGGAGUAAGUGGCAUCCAGCUUGAAAUACUAACAUGCUCGUACAUCAUCUGGCUGUUGCUUCAGAUCCUCCUGAGCAUCUUGCCCAGAAGUGACCUCCAGAAUGCCUAUGUGCUAGUACAGAUUAAAUGUUCAGACAAAACGUGUGAGCAACAGAGGAGACUGUGCUGUAUGAAGCUGUUCUCCAAGGACAUUCUUCCACUUGUCCCUUCCACAAGAUCUGAAGAAACAUCUGGACAAGGAUUCAUCACGUGACUUUAAAUAUGCUGAUAUUUGACUUCAGUGACAUGUUCUGAUGUCCCUUCAAAAUGAAGCACCUACCAAAUGAGGAUUUAAUUUAGAUUUAUGAGUGUGUUUAUCGUCUAUUAAUGAAGUACUACAUAAUAACUCAAACCACAUUUAUUGAGGCUGUUGUGAUUAUGUAACGGGGUAUUAUGUUUCUAAUAAUUAGCUGGCACCAUUCAAUUACAUAUGAAUUAAAGCAGUUGCUGAGUUUACUGAGGAGCCAGGAGUUGUUCUUAGCAUGAUUUUGGUGUUGGCAACUUCGUGCUCAGGAGGUGAGGUUUUAUGCUAGGUGACAGCUGCCCAUACUUUUGCCUUAUGUCUUCAUACUUGGCAUGUAAAGGUCAUCCUGAAAAUGGGAGACCAAGAAAUCUGGAUA